UGAGCUCAGCAGUCGAGUAAGUUGUGCCAAAAAUACCAGAAGCGAUAUCCUAUAUACGGCCUUGACCAGAAAUGUUGCAUGCCCUGGAUGCAGAAAAACAAGAUUGAGAUGAGUGGAUCAAGAUGUAUCUUUCGUGCAGAUGUAUCAAGAUGUAGGUACCUUUCACUUAAGAUCCAUGCAGGUGAGGUUCCAGUGAAAUUUCAAUUCGAUAGGCAGCUAUUUUUGUUUUUGCUUUGAUACUUGUGGUAAGGAAACAUGAUUAUGGUUGCAUGAACCGCCCACUGCUCAUUGCUGUCUUGUCUCGGGUUCGGUAUCCGAUCACCAUUCUUAAAUAGCUCACCCCAUAUGGAAAUCAGGUUUCAGGAGGCCACUAGGCCUGUGGGGCCUGGUCUCAAUGAGCUCCCAGUGCUAAGGACAGUCAGGCUCAUAUGUUGGGCGCAAGCUUUGGAUGAACUUCUGCUUCUGCAGUCGGCAUUCUUACAGGGGAACCCAAGAUUCACUGUACCUGUAUGCAUUUCAAAACUGAAUAAUUGAUAGCAACAAGUCAAUAUUUGAAGUUGCAGCCAAAUGCUGUGCCUUCUCUGCUGCAAGAGCUACAUGUCACCAUUGAAGCAAGGACCAGCUCGACUCCUGCAGUAGGAGUCCAGCCUCGUCCAGUCGUCGCCGCUCGCCAAGACCAGCCGGACUCCUGCAAUAGGGGUCCAGGCUGACCCGUUCGUCCAGUAACCGCCGCUCGUCAGCACCAGCUGGGCUCCUGUAGUAGGGGUCCAGCCUCGUCCAGUCGCCGCCGCUCGCCAAGACCAGCUGGGCUCCUGUAGUAUGGGGCUAGGAUGGCCCGUUCAUCAACCGGUCCUGAAGUCACAUCGCUGUCAGCCAGCCGAACCCAGUACAUAAGUCACCAACCCUGAAUGUUGCCAGCCAAAGUCGGCAGUUUCCUUCGGACAGUCAUCUCACCAGUGUUGUACAGUGUACGAGGUUAGUGACGCAGUUAAAUGCGUCAAUUAAAUGCGAGGACGUGCGCUUGUAUGCAGCGUUUUGUCAUGUUGAGCUGCAAGGGUGUCGAUUUUCACCGAAUUGAGGGUGCCCACUGCCCGGGCGCAGCAAAUCCGCCGCCGCCUCAGCGGUGACCUUGACCCGACCGUCUGUUGGGGCUCCAAAGCCCCCCUGUUUGGCCAAUCUGCUCUCAAACGGGUCAUCUUUACUCAUAUUUUAUUUACAUGAACGCUUUGCAUGGUCCAGUGGUUUAUAUAGACAUCUUCCUUGCACUAGCUAGUUUUAUGUGGCCAGGUUGAUUGCCUGUCAGCGCGGUCACGCUGUCGUCUUUCGAUUGGUGCGCUUAAAUGCGGCGAGAUGAAUAUAGGAUUUCCUUUGAUGCUA